rnacentral:rRNA from 1 species
AUUGAACGCUGGCGGCAUGCCUUACACAUGCAAGUCGAACGGCAGCACGGGUGCUUGCACCUGGUGGCGAGUGGCGAACGGGUGAGUAAUACAUCGGAACAUGUCCUGUAGUGGGGGAUAGCCCGGCGAAAGCCGGAUUAAUACCGCAUACGAUCUACGGAUGAAAGCGGGGGACCUUCGGGCCUCGCGCUAUAGGGUUGGCCGAUGGCUGAUUAGCUAGUUGGUGGGGUAAAGGCCUACCAAGGCGACGAUCAGUAGCUGGUCUGAGAGGACGACCAGCCACACUGGGACUGAGACACGGCACAGACUCCUACGGGAGGCAGCAGUGGGGAAUUUUGGACAAUGGGCGAAAGCCUGAUCCAGCAAUGCCGCGUGUGUGAAGAAGGCCUUCGGGUUGUAAAGCACUUUUGUCCGGAAAGAAAUCCUUGGCCCUAAUACGGUCGGGGGAUGACGGUACCGGAAGAAUAAGCACCGGCUAACUACGUG